UACGUAGGGUGCAAGCGUUGUCCGGAAUCAUUGGGCGUAAAGAGCUUGUAGGCGGUUUGCCGCGUCUGCUGUGAAAUUUCGGGGCUCAACCCCGAACUUGCAGUGGGUACGGGCAGACUAGAGUGUGGUAGGGGAGGACGUGGAAUUCCGAUCGGUGGUAGCGGUGGAAAUGCGCAGAUAUCAGGAGGAACACCAGCGGCGAAGGCGGCGCUCGUGGGCCGGUACUGACGCUGAGGAGCGAAAGCGUGGGUAGCAACAGG
rnacentral:rRNA from 1 species